rnacentral:tRNA from 1 species
GGGGAUAUAUCUCAGUGGUAGAGUGUGUGCUUAGCAUGCACAAAAUGCUAGGUUCUAUCCCCA